GCGAGUCGGGAAAUGAUUUUAAACCGAGAAGGCGGCUGAAGGCUUGGUUGCCGCUUCUCAAAGGCGGGGUUUCAAAGCUAGCUGGGCUCCUGAAGGGCUCAGGUGGAGAGAGGGGACUUAGUCUCGAUCCACACUUUUGGAACCAGAUUUGAAGAAUGAUUCGUGAAGCCGGAAUGGGUGACAGCGUCAUCACAGCAUUUCAUUGACCAUGGAUCCUUAUGAUACACCAGAAUCGACUCCGAGGCACGGUGCAUCCUCAAGGCUUAAAGAUUAUUUUAUAGGUGCCACCCCUUUGUGGAAACGAUUAGAAUCAGUCAGGAAGCAGGCUUCAUUUGUCCCGACUCCACCUCGAAGGAAAAUUCCUCAGUGUUCACAAUUACAGGAAGAUAAUGAUCCUCAAAAGUUUGCAUUUCUUCUGCAUAAACAAUGGACUUUAUAUAGUUUAACUCCCCUAUAUAAAUUCUCCUAUACUAAUCUCAAAGAGUAUUCUAGACUUCUGAGUGCAUUUAUUGCUGCUGAAAAGCAAAAAGGGCUUGCUGUUGAAGUGGGAGAAGACUUCAACAUCAAAGUGACUUUCUCCACUCUCCUAGGAAUGAAAGGAACACAAAGAGACCCUGAAGCAUUUCUUGUCCAGAUUCUGUCAAAAUCUCAAUUACCAUCAGAGAACAGAGGACAAAAAGUGUUGUGGACUGGUUGGUUCUGCUGUGUAUUUGGAGACAGUCUUCUGGAGACUGUUCCAGAAGAUUUCACCUGUGUACCUUUAUUUCUUGCAAAUGGAGCAGAGACGAAUACAGCCAUAGUUGGAACCUGGUUUCAGGAAACUUUUGAUUGUCAUUUCAGUUCCUUAGCAAUCAAUGCGUUUAAUCUUUCCUGGAUGGCUGCUAUGUGGACUGCAUGCAAAAUGGACCAAUAUAUGGCUACUACUGAAUUUCUUUGGUCUGUACCGUGUAGCCCUCAAAGUCUGGACAUUUCUUAUGCCAUACAUCCAGAGGAUGCAAAAGCUUUGUGGGACAGCGUCCACAAAACACCUGGGGAAGUUACUCAGGAGGAAGUUGACUUAUUCAUGGACUGCCUUUAUUCACACUUCCAUAGGCAUUUCAAAAUUCAUUUAUCAGCCACAAGAUUGGUCCGUGUUUCAACAUCUGUAGCUUCAGCACAUACUGAUGGAAAAAUAAAGAUUCUGUGUCAUAAAUACCUCAUUGGAAUCUUGGCAUAUUUGACAGAACUGGCAAUUUUUCAAAUUGAUUGAGGUCUUGUGGGAACUAUAAAUAUAAAUUAUGGAUUAUAUAACUUUUUCCUCACAGAUUAUUUGCCUAAUUUCUAUGCUGAGAGGAACUGCAGGAGAAACAUGCAUCUAUAUCUGCAUCUGUUUUCCUCUCAGUGCCUUUGGAAUUGCCCAGAUAGAAGCCAAAAAGGAUCUAGAACAAAGAAGGUGGUAGCGAAUGAAUCACACCCAGGUGUUCAUAUAAUAGUCACGAUGAUCUGGGAGGCCAGUCUUUAGAAAAUGCUGAGUUGUUAUUUUCUUGGGCCAUCUUAUAUCAAAUUUUUAGGAUUCAAAUGAGAUAUCUCUAAUAUUGAGUGUUUUUGAUUUGGGUCUUUAAAAAGCUUUAAUCCCUUUUAAGCAUUUUAGACUUGGAUUCAGAGAGAAUUUCUGUCUUCUAAAGACAUUUUCCUACUAUCAUUUCACUGUAGAGAGUUGGCAAUCAAAAUCCUCUCCAAAGGAAACUAAAAAUUAAUAUACAUUUAUUAAAGCCACUAAUAUGCUUCUGUUUUUAAUGCUGUUCAAUUCUUAUUGCAAUGUUGAAUUAAAUAUUCACUUUUAAAAUGAAGCAGCGUGUUUAUCAGUGUCUUGGUGGCAGAUCUUUAAUUAAUGUCUCAGCAAUGAGAAGUCAUAGGCUUUUUCUGUAGCACAAAGGUUACAAACCAGCAAUUAUAUAGAACCAUACUUAUAGAAUUGAAAGGGACCUGUGAGCCUCUUUUGAGAGCAGCAGUUAUCUUGUUUAACUUUCAUGUCCCUAAUUUUGCUUUAGCACAGUGCUUGGUAAAUGUCUGCAGGUUAAGUAAAUGUAUUUUAACCAAAUCUUCCAUUUUAUAGAUGAAAACUAUGAGAUUGAACAACUUAGGAGACUUGCCCAAGAUGCUGUGUUUAAAUCUCUUGUUUUAAUUUAUGGAGUAUGGGAACAUUUUGUUUUACUUUAGAAACUCUUUUUUAAAAGUUGUUUGAAAGGAAAUUAAUAGGCUGUCUUUCUAAAAGGUUAACUUUUGGAAUGGAAUAUUAUUUCACAUAUACUAGGAACAGCAGAGAUAGUGGAAAAAGCAUGGGCUUUGGAGUGAGACAGUCAUUAAUUUAACUAAUAUUAAGUUCCUGCUGUGUACUUAGAAUUGUAUUGGGUAACAGGGGUAUAGCAGUGAAGACAAAAAAGAUCCCUGUCAUUUGGAAAUUACAUUCUAGUGGAGGAAGGCAAAAAAUAAAUAAUUUCUGUGGAGAUAAAUACUUAAGGCAGUACAACAUGGAAAGGGGGUCUCUCUGGGUAGGUGACAUUUGAGCUAGGUCCUGAAUGCUGAGGGAACCAGUGAAGCUGUGUGAAGAUCUGUGGGAGGGUUUGCUAGGCAGGUGAAAUGGCGAGAGCAAAGGCUUUGAGAUAGGUAAGAGGUUGGCUUAUUUGAGGAAUAAAGGAAGUCUGUGUGGCUGAAGGAAGUCAGGGUGGAGUAGUAUUAGAUGAGACUGAAGAGAUUGUGCAGCAGAGACUUAUUCCAUGGGUAUGUCUCCCAAUUUUUGACUGAGCAUGUGGUUGUCCAGAAUAAAGAUGGUCUUUUCUGGCCUUUCUCAUAGGUAGGUGUAGUCCUAUGACUAAGUUCUGACCCAUGGCAUAUAAAUGGAAGGAUCAGGAAUCUUCCUUAAAAAACAGCAGACAUAUACCCCUUGGCUUUUUCUUAUUCUGCCAUCUUUGCUGCUUGGAACACAUAUAAUGACUGGAAUUCUAGCCACUCUUUUUGGUCACGGGGAUGCAGGUCAGGUCAUAGGAAUGGUGGAACAUGGCCUGAAACGAGUUUGUGCCUUGAGGACUUCUUGAGGCUGAACCCCAGUGCCACCCUUGGGCAGUCUUCCUAUGGACCUGUGUGUCAGAGAGGAUCCACACAGGAGUGAAAACAUUACCAUGGAGUGAUCUUGAUCUCUAGGAUAUGUUAUGUGAAAGAGCAACUUGUGGACAGUGUGCUGUCUGUUAUGGAUGGAAUGGGUGAAAUAUGAAUAUGUGUGUGUAUUUCCUUAUGUUUCCAAAAACCAAUGGAAGAAUAAACCAACUAAUAAAAAUGGUUACUAACUAGGGGGAAGGAAGGAACUGGGUAAGGGGGACAGAAAUUAAAGUUAAAACUUACCUGAAUGUUCCUUUUUUAUAGUUUGGAACCAUUUAAGUGUUUUUUGUUUUGUUUUGUUUUUUAAUUUUUUUUUUCAACGUUUAUUUAUCUUUGGGACAGAGAGAGGCAGAGCA